CCGAAACCGAAAUUAAAAAAAAAAUUGGUUCGGUCGGUUUUUUCGGUUCGAACUGAUAUAUGCCCACCCCUACUUACAAUGGUUUAACUACAUUAAUCUAAGUAUUAUUUGAUACUGAAUACAACAGGGAAUAACUUAUUCUGGUAUAAGUACUACUUAUCAUAACUAGUUCAUGAACCAAAUGAACCUCGUUCAGGUUGGAUGUCUAAUUCUUCACAUGAUCAGAGUCAAUGUCUUCAUGUGUGCACCUAGAAUUACGUCAUUGUAGAUUGUGUUAUAUAAACAUGCAAAGGAGUCUAUACAUGUUAUAUUUUUGUUAUUUUAAUCUAAAACUAAGCAUUUGAUAGUUCUUACCGCUGGUGCCAUAUAUAAGCAUUUGAUUAGUUCUUAUCGGUGGAGCUAUCUAUUUCCAUAAUUCCAUGCUACGGGAGUUUACUGAUUAAUAGUACUAUGCAAUUCCACUGUUUCGUUUGUCUUGUUGCCCGAGAAUGGCACUUCGUUGUGAAACUCUCUAUUCCUCCCUCAAGGUCUACUAUUUUAUGGUUAAUAGCAUCAGAAAGAAAUCAUUGAGGCAGAGGUAGUAGUAGUUUCUUGAUUUAAUGCAUUUCGUCUCUCAUCCGGUUGGGCAAAUUUUAUUGCCUAAGACGUGCAGAAAUUCAGCAUUUGGUCUUCAGCUUAUUACUUUCUUUUAUCUUUUACAAUUAUAUGUAGCAUGGAUAUUUCUUUUUAAGUCCAAUGUCAGUUGUAUACUUAUUCUAGUAAGAUUAUGGACUUUGUUCUGAAAUUGGAUUGGUAUAACUUCUUGUUAGAUAUGGGACCGAAGAGUUCAGCAAAGUUCAUCAUUUUACAAUGGACUAAAGUUUAGGUAUGGAGGAUGCAACUUCAGUAUGGGGAAUGAUUCCAAACAAGAGCCCCAUGUUUGCCUUCAUCUUAGUCUGACAGACUAUAGGACUUUUGUGGGCACAAACUUAGGUCCUAUAUGGGAAAGAUUUGUAGUUCCAUCUGAAGAUGAUUGCGAACAAUGUCAGCAUAUAUCAAGUCCCCUCGGUUAUGGUGCAGUUGUUGAGACUUCUGACAUAAGAAUACUUGUGCUUCAACGAAGUAAUAAAGUUGGAGAAUUCCCAGGAUAUUAGUUUUUUCCUGGAGGCCAUCCGGGGGUAUGUCAUCUGCAUCAAUAAGAUGUUGUAGGGAAUUUUUAAUAAAAUGAUAAAGAAAUUUUGCUGAGCAUCAGCUUUUAACAACUCAAAAUGGAAGUAGGAUUUGUAAAAUUGUUGUAACCCAACAAGUAAUGAACCCACAGCCUUUCAUCUUCA